rnacentral:rRNA from 1 species
AUUGAACGCUGGCGGCAUGCUUUACACAUGCAAGUCGAACGGUAACAGGCCUUCGGGUGCUGACGAGUGGCGAACGGGUGAGUAAUGCAUCGGAACGUACCCAGAGGUGGGGGAUAACGCAGCGAAAGCUGUGCUAAUACUGCAUGUGAUCUGAGGAUGACAGCGGGGGACCGAGCAGCAAUGUUUGGCCUCGCGCCUUUGGAGCGGCCGAUGUCGGAUUAGCUAGUUGGUGGGGUAAAGGCCUACCAAGGCGACGAUCCGUAGCUGGUCUGAGAGGACGACCAGCCACACGGGGACUGAGACACGGCCAAGACUCCUAAGGGAGGCAGCAGUGGGGAAUUUUGGACAAUGGGCGCAAGCCUGAUCCAGCAAUGCCGCGUGCGGGAAGAAGGCCUUCGGGUUGUAAACCGCUUUUGGCAGGAACGAAACGGUGUCCGCUAAUACCGGGCGCUAAUGACGGUACCUGCAGAAUAAGCACCGGCUAACUACGUG